UGAAAAGCUCGGUAACAGCUUCAAGAAGGCCAAAUCUGUUUUAAUUAGCAAGGUGGGCUGUGAUGAGCAUAAGAGUUUGUGCAGAAAAUAUGGAGUCUCAUGGUACCCAACAAUUCAGUGGUUUCCAAAAGGAUCUCUAGAACCCAAAAAGAAAGUUGGAAGGUCAUGCUCUUCAUCAUAGGAAAUGAAACUUUUAAGAAAUUGGGAGCAAUUGGAACAUCAGUAAACUUGUUGGUCAAUCUUACGUAUUCAACCUGAACAACAUCACAGCUGCAAAUAUCAUCAACAUAUUCAAUGGCAACACCAACCUUGCUACUUUACUUGGUGCUUUCUUUUAUGAUACAUUUUUUGGUCGCUACAACACAUUAGCAUUAUGCACUAUCACUUCCUUUCUGGUAUUAAUUUAAUAGAUAAAUAAUUCAUUUCACGCAAAGAAAAAAAAUCAAUAAAUUGUGCUAAAUUUUCUAUGAAUCACUACAUUUUUAAUUCUAUUUUCAUGCAUCUAAUAGGGAUUGCUUGCAAAUGACAAUAUUAGCUUAAUAGACACUAUUCAACAAAGUUCUAUGAAUCACUACACUUUUGUGUUUUUGUGUCUUAUAUGGUGUCUGUAUUUCAUAUUCAAUUUUAAUUCUUGUUCCCUGCAUCCAAACAAGGAUUGCUUGCAACACAACUAACAACAGUAUUCAAGAAUUUUCAUCCCCCACACUGUGGAAAGGAAAGCCUCACAUGCAAAGGUCCAACAACUGGCCAAAUGGCUUUUCUAAUAUCAGGAUUUGGUCUCUCUUAGUAGGUGCAGCAGGGGUUAAACCAUGUAAUUUAGCAUUUGGGGUUUUGAUCAGUUCAACCCCAAAACAGAUUCAGGAAAGAAAAGAAUCAAUUGUUUUUUCAAUUGGAAUUUCUUUACAUUCACUUUUGCACAGAUGGUGUCUUUAACACUAAUUGUAUAUAGUCAAUCAAAUGUGAGUUGGGCUAUUGGUUUGGGAAUUCCUGUUGCUUUGAUGUUCAUAUCAUGUGUUGUGUUUUUCAUGGGAGCUAAAUUGUAUGUUAAAGUUAAACCAUGUGGUAGUCCUGUCACUAGUAUUGUUCAAGUCAUAGUUGUUGAUGUCAAGAAAAGAAGACUUAAACUACCUUCUGACCAGUGGUUACUGUAUAUUUAGCUAGACCACAUUUGGUUAAGCCCUUGAAGCAUGUACUUUUGCUGCUUUCAGCAAAUUCACAUGGAAGGAAUUAACUAGAGCAGGAUGAAAUUACUUUGGUUGUUGUAA